rnacentral:lncRNA from 1 species
CAGGUAUGUAUCGUAAUGGCAAAAUAUAGCGUGAAAAUCCUUAAUUGAAUACUGUUCUUAUCAUUUGAUAGUUCAUUUAUGUUAGAAUUUAUAGCAGAUUUCCAUGUUUUAAUCAUAAUCAAUAUGACUUAUAUCUGUAUUUUCUCCCGAUUCACAUUAAAAAUGUCUGAGAGGUUUUUUUUCAAAAUCAUUUUUGUCAUUACCCGUUUGUCUUUUUGUUUUGUUUCAGUAGACGAUUCGGAAUUUUGACUGACCUGGAAAAGGGUGGGAAAAGGUGGUGUAGUAAAGUUCUUUUAAAUUUGAUCAUUUGAUGUGAAAUGUUUAAACUAUAAUGUAAAACCACAUGUGAACUUAAUUAAUGUUAAUUAUUGCUUUUAAUGUAUAUAAUGUUCCUAAUGAAUAUGUUUAACCAUUUUCCUUACCACCCCCACAUUCGUUGACAUUUGUUAAGGUAGACUGAUCUCUAUAGAUGUCAGAUCAAAAGUUCAAGUUAGGUUAUGUAUUGAAGUUCUUGAAGAAUGUGGUAGGUAGCGAUUCAUUUAUAUCUCGUAUGACAAUUUAAAACAAUUUAAGUAAAAUAACAAG